rnacentral:lncRNA from 1 species
GCUUUUGUUCUAUGUGAUUUGGAGAAGAUGGGUUGGAACAGACUCCUCCUCUUUCUCUUUGCGGCUUUGUCUUAAACCAACAUCAUAUUUGUGGUAAAAAACAAAAUGGGUUUUAAUUGGUAAAAACAAAAUCAAGAGUUCCACUUUUUACGGGAGAGAAUUAAAUAGUUCAUUGAUGUGUUGUGAUACCUAAUGAAACUCACUUUGUAUUUCUCUAUUCAGUUAUUACAGUAAGUCUUCUUUGCGCAGAAGUGUAGUAAAUUGGAGCGCUAGCUAACUCUACGAAUCUUGUUGUGGAGAUUUAAGGUAAAUCUGUUAUUGUAUUCGCAUACUUUGGAGUCACCUUCUGAUAUUAUUCUUGCACUGUUUUAUCUCUACUUCAAAACAAUUGUAUUUAUAGGCUUUCUAGUAACUCAGUAGGGCUUAAUACUUGUACUACCGGUUUUGGGAUUGUAAGUAUUGUAUAGAGAUUUCUACUUCGCAUUUGUCAGUCGUUAAUUAAUAUUGUUAUUAUUUCAGGAAAUGUUAGGCUUAUCUAGUCCCUAAGACUAGGUGACAUCACGACAUCCUACGGAAGAAGAUUUGGAUCGUGACAAGUUGGUAUAACAACAACAACAAACCCAGCUUAAUUUCAUACGUGAGGUAUGAGAAGGGAAGUAUGUAUCGUGUACACAGCCUUACUCCUACCCUAUAAAGACAAAGAGGUCGUUUCUGAUUCUUUCUCUAUUCAGUUAUUAUAGUAGUUCCUUCUAAAACAUUCUCUAGUAAUUGUAACUUUCCUUGUUAUUCUUCUACUUACAGAACAAAUAAAAUUUAACUCUUACAAACCAUAAAGUAAAACUAAGCUUCAAGAUUCUACUCAUAUAACGUAGAAAUUUCUUUGCUCUAGCGCAUGAGCGGAAAAACUAGGGGCGAAAUCUUCGUCAAAAAAUCAUAUUGAAUAUAUACUAUCAAAUUCUUUUAUGUAUAUAUAUUAUAUGACGAAUUCGCUUAGUUUUUUUGCAUAUUAAUGUUUUUAGUUUUUGAAUUUUCUUGGUGAG